rfam:Helianthus annuus linkage group 8, whole genome shotgun sequence.
AUACCUUUCUCGGCCUUUUGGCUAAGAUCAAGUGUAGUAUCUGUUCUUAUCAGUUUAAUAUCUGAUAUGUGGGUCAUCGACCCACUCGAUAUUAAUCUUAUUUUUUAAGGGGUAAGGCCCGUCAAGCUACUGGGGUCUUCAUGCGUUGCCUUGGUCUUACUUACACUUUCACCGAGGCCUGGCGCACCCCUC